rnacentral:lncRNA from 1 species
GCCCUCUGGCUUCUCUGUUUGAUCGUCGGAUGGUCCCCCGAAGCCCCGUUGGCGGAAAGAAAAGCCCCUCCGCCUCACCGAAAGCCCGACGCCCGGGAGACGCCGGGCCCGCGCGCGCAGCCGCUGCCGGAGUUCGCACGCCGACCGCGCGCCGCCUACGCAGGACCGCGUGCCUGGCCCGACCCCCGGCGCCGGAAGGCCGCGCCGCCCGCCGACAACCGCGCCGGCUUCCGGGAGGCAGUGAGAGCGCCCGCGGGGCUUCCGGGCCCGCGCCUCGCGCAGGCGGAGAACCGCGCGUCGCCGCCCGAGGACUCCCCGCGGCGCGCGCGCGCUCGGGCUCCGCGACCCCCGGGCUCGCGCGUCACUGGCCCCGCCCACCCGAACCGGCCGCGCGCCGCCGCGCAGCCCUCAGGAACCCCGCAGGCUCUGUCGCCCGAGGACGGGGAGCCGGAGACCCAGUCCUGCGCGCGCGCCUGCAACGCGGACGCGGACGAGCGCGAGGCCUACUGCGCCAGCGAAUUCGGUGAGCGCGCUGCAUCCUCCCAGGAACCCGCGCGCCCGCCCACGUCCUGGCGCUAGUGGUAAUAAUGCUUUUCUCUAAAUCCUGUUUUUCCAAAGCAG